GACGAACGCUGGCGGCGUGCCUAAUACAUGCAAGUUGAGCGCUGAAGGUUGGUACUUGUACCGACUGGAUGAGCAGCGAACGGGUGAGUAACGCGUGGGGAAUCUGCCUUUGAGCGGGGGACAACAUUUGGAAACGAAUGCUAAUACCGCAUAAAAACUUUAAACACAAGUUUUAAGUUUGAAAGAUGCAAUUGCAUCACUCAAAGAUGAUCCCGCGUUGUAUUAGCUAGUUGGUGAGGUAAAGGCUCACCAAGGCGAUGAUACAUAGCCGACCUGAGAGGGUGAUCGGCCACAUUGGGACUGAGACACGGCCCAAACUCCUACGGGAGGCAGCAGUAGGGAAACUUCGGCAAGGGACGAAAGUCUGACCGAGAAACGCCGAGGGAGUGAAGAAGGGUUUCGGAUCGUAAAACUCUGUUGGUAGAGAAGAACGUUGGUGAGAGUGGAAAGCUCAUCAAGUGACGGUAACUACCCAGAAAGGGACGGCUAACUACGUG
rnacentral:rRNA from 1 species